rnacentral:misc_RNA from 1 species
UGUUUUAAUCUGAGGUUUUAAUAUUACUCUUUGGAUCACAAUGACAUAAAAAUUUAGACAUAGAUAAUUUUAUGUGUCUUUUCUUGGUCUCUUUGCAUAGAUUACACGUAAUUGUAAUUUUUAAGCUUAUUAGGGAUCAUUUAUAUUUUGACUUAUCAGCUUAUUUUCUAUAUUAUUAUUAUUAAGACAAGUUAUUAAUUUUACUUAUUUUUGAGAAAUGAAAGCUAAAGGCCCUAAUCAUCCUUUUGUGGUAUGGGCUUCAUAUUUUUUAUGGCUCAUAUCUUUAUUUUCAAUAACGUGGUCGCUGCUGUUGUUUCUUUUUGUUGGAGAUAUGCUAAUAAUAACUGGAACUGAUCUGGUGAAUGCAUUCGUACUACUCUCGGGCAUAAUAAUGCUGCCUACUAAUGUGCACAUGUUGUAUUCUAUUGCAAGCGGAAAAAAACUUGACCAUAAAGCUAAGGUCGUUUGCUGUCCCAUCUGGCUGUGCAUAGUAUGGAUAAUAAUAAUUAAUUUUGUCGGGGUUAUACUAUGUAUCCAGAGGAUACGAUUAUGCCAAGAAACCGUCAUGAGGAAUUUAUCAAUGGGAAUGCGAAACUACAGGAAUAUGCCCAAAUACAAACAUUUUAUAGACAAUUUGCAGUGGGUGCUUGGCUGCUGCGGGCUCAAUUCAUACAAAGAUUGGUUUGAUCACGACUGGUGCGACAAAAUGCGAGACUAUGAAUGGGACCCGUCUAUUAAUAAACGCGUUGCUCAAAAUAAAAAACAACCAACGGCUACAGACAGCGUGCCACUGAGCUGUUGCAAAAGUGGAUCGUGUAUAUCAAAUUAUUUAUUGGAACUGGGUUCGUAUUCAAUUAACACAAAUGGCUGUGGAGACUUGGUAUACCAAAUAAUAACAAUAUCGAUGAACGUACAUCUAGUAAUGUUUCUUACUAUAAUUAUUGUAGAGGAGCGGUUACCUAAAGUACCCUCGAUAUGUUUAUUAUGCAAAUUUACUAUUCAACAGCUUAUUAUACUCAAAUGUAUAGUUAAAAAAAAUAAGUCACCCUGUAAAUCUAAACGAAACAAAUUAAAUGUAAGACAUAUAAUGCCGAUAAAAAAUAAUUUCAAUGCGUCAAGUGAAUCUUUGCAACUAAAUCCCGACGAUAGUGAAGAUUUGGAUGAAAGUGCGGUACAAGUUGAACGUAUUAAAAUGGACAUUUACAAAAGUGCUGGUCUAAAUCAAUACCAAGGCUGUGUGGAUUCUAUGGAAAGAGUAUUCGAAUGACCUUCACUCAUACAAUCUUAUCAAUAUUUUUAUAAAAAUAUUAUGUUUUGUGUAAAAGGUUGUAAAAAAGUAAUAUUAUCUACCUGCUUAGGUACCUAUUGAGAUCAUAGAACGUAGCUAAUUUAGUAUCGAUAUUACCAAUCAUUCGAUAUAUAAUUGCAUCCCUAGUACCCUAAGCGUCAAUUUGACAAAACAUAUGUAAGACUAGGC